ACUUAUCUCGAAUGCGCGUUAGGGAUGGUAGUGGAGCUUUUUUUAUUAAUUGCCACGGGUUUAAACCCGUGGCAAUUAAUAAAAAAAGCGGGAACGUACAGCCCGACCCUUG
rnacentral:sRNA from 1 species